CAGCCGCCGCGGUAAGACAGAAGAUGCAAGCGUUAUCCGGAAUGAUUGGGCGUAAAGCGUCUGUAGGUGGCUUUUCAAGUCCACCGUCAAAUCCCAGGGCUCAACCCUGGACAGGCGGUGGAAACUACCAAGCUAGAGUACGGUAGGGGCAGAGGGAAUUUCCGGUGGAGCAGUGAAAUGCGUUGAGAUCGGAAAGAACACCAACGGCGAAAGCACUCUGCUGGGCCGACACUGACGCUGAGGAGCGAAAGCGUGGGGAGCGAACAGGAUUAGAUACCCCAGUAGUCCCUGUCUCUUAUAC
rnacentral:rRNA from 1 species